ensembl:lncRNA
GUGCAGAUGGAAUGCUAGAACAGUGCAGCGCAGAUGGAAUUCUAUAACAGUACAGUGCAGAUGGAAUGCUAGAACAGUGCAGUGCAGAUAGAAUGCUAGAUCAGUGCAGUGCAGAUGGAAUGCUAGAACAGUGCAGUGCAGAUGGAAUGCUAGAACAGUGCAGUGCAGAUGGAAUGCUAGAACAGUGUAGAUGGAAUGCUAGAACAGUGUAGAUGGAAUGCUAGAACAGUGCAGUGCAGAUGGAAUGCUAGAACAGUGCAGUGCAGAUGGAAUGCUAGAACAGUGUAGAUGGAAUGCUAGAACAGUGCA